GGACCUGACUGCUAUCGGAUUGAUACUAAGCCAUGCGAGUCUUUGUAGUAAUACAAGGCAUACGGCUCAGUAACGCGUAGUCAACCUACCCUAUGGACAAGAAUAAUCUCGGGAAACUGAGCAUAAUUCUUGAUAGAUCAUAAUGCCUGGAAUGGUUUAUGGUUAAAAUGAUUCGUCGCCAUAGGAUGGGACUGCGGCCUAUCAGCUUGUUGGUGAGGUAAUGGCCCACCAAGGCGAUUACAGGUACGGGCUCUGAGAGGAGAAGCCCGGAGAUGGGUACUGAGACAAGGACCCAGGCCCUAUGGGGCGCAGCAGGCGAGAAAACUUUGCAAUGUGCGAAAGCACGACAAGGUUAGUCCGAGUGAUUUCUGCUAAAGAGAAUCUUUUGCUAGUUAUAAAACCACUAGUGAAUAAGGGGUGGGCAAGUUCUGGUGU
rnacentral:rRNA from 1 species